ACGCUCGACACCUACGGGAGGCAGUGGGGAAUAUUGCACAAUGGAGGAAACUCUGAUGCAGCGACGCCGCGUGAGGAAGAAGGUCUUCGGAUUGUAAACCUCUGUUGUCAGGGACGAUGAUGACGGUACCUGACGAGGAAGCCACGGCUAACUACGUGCCUGCAGCCGAGUAUNGNGCGGNUGNAG
rnacentral:rRNA from 1 species